GUCCGACUGGCGGUUUAGGCCCCACAGGGAUUGGGCCUAAACCAGCAGUCAGACAUCCCCCAAGGGGUCCUGGAUUGGAGAGGGUGCAGGCCAGGCUGAGGGGACUCCCUCCACCCCUCCUUCCAUGAAUUUCGUGUUCCGGGCCUUUAGUUUAAUAUAAGAGCCAAAAAAGUGACAUCCAAAAGAAGACCCAUCUUUAUGCUGGGAAAAAUGAUUUUAAGAGCUAGUUGAUUUAAGAUCUGCAUUUCAUAAUAUUUUGUUAGCCAACCCUUUUCUAGUAUUUCUGUUCUGCUGUAUAUACUACUCCAUCAGAUUUUGUAGGAAAAAAAUCAUUUUUUUCUUGCUUUCAUUUUAAUGCUAGAAAAAAUUUUCCCAGGCCCAUCAGUUUCAGCUAGUGUAAUGCUAGUCAUAUAAAGCAAAAAGGGCAAACUCCAUGCCUCCUGGGCACAAGAAAAUGAAUUAGCAAAGCUGGGUGUUUUGCAUAUUAAACAAGUUAGAACAUUGUUCAUUUUUAAUAUGGAUUCAGUGUUGCUCAGCCCUCUAAUUUUUAAGCACUAGAAUCAGGGUUUUUAUUUGAAAUAUUAUUGUUAAAUAUUAACUAAUUCAUACAAGCAUUUUAGGCAAAAAGACACUAGAGGCCUGACAUGGACAGCUGUUUUAGUUUCCUUUGUAGUGAAGAGCCGUGCUGGUAAAUUAUGGUCCAUGGGCCCAAAUAUAGUCUGCUGCUACCAAUUUUUAUAUGGCACAUGAGCUAAGAAUGAUUUUUACAUUUUUAAAUGGUUGGGGGAAGAAUCAAAAGAAUAUUUUUUUCCUUUUUGCCCCAGUCCCCUCAAGCAGAAGAGAGGUACAGUUCAGGACAAUAUUGUCAAGACUUUAUGAUUAAGAGUAUAAAUCCUGCCUUUACCACUGUGAUACUUUGCAUUCUUUACUUAGCUUAAUAGAAGGCAGCUGGAUUCACAUAUCAGCUUCUGCAGCCGGCCUGUUGUACUAUCAUCCACUUAGCUUUUGGAAACUCCACUGUACACUAGUCUGAGAGUAAUGAAGAAAACAUUGUCUUAGUUUUAUUAUAAGAAUAGUUCUAACAGGUGGGUCCUGUGAAAGGGUGUUCCUAGACCACAUUUGGAGAGCUUCUCUAAAUACUUGCAUAUACUGCUGAUUCAUUGUUUGUGGGUUUUUUUCUGUUUUUUGUUUUUUGCAAUAUGUAUUGCCUACUGGCUUCCUAAUAAUAAAAAAAGUGAAUAUUUAGCUUUUUCUAUAUACUUUUCUAUAUUGCACAUAAUCUAUUUUCCUGGUAUAGUUAUAGUAAUUUCUGGUUAAAUUUAUAUUCUUUGUUUUUAUAAUUGACAUAAACAUUAUUCACAUCUGAGUAGUAUAGAAUGACUUUAUACUACCUUUCUCAUACAAAACCUUUUUAUUAUUUGAUAAUUGCUCCUUAGACUGAGAGGGAGAAUUGCUUAUUUUUCUAUGUACUUAUUGCUGAUUCAUCUUCAGACUCUCUGACAGUAGUAUAAUUGCUUUUCUGUAUGUACAGACUUAUCAGGUAGCUUGAUCAUGUUUCCUGUUUUCUUGGUGAUAGUCCACUUGUUAUUCUUCAGUGUUAUCAUCUAGACUGGUUACACUCCAACCAUGUUGCUAUGCAGAUGUCCUGAGGGUAAUUGUUAUCCUGGAUUUGAAUGAACUUUGCCUCCAACCCCUGUUGGAUCGAUAGUUUUAUGAAUCUGAGAUCAAUAUUUUUGAAACCAUGCAUGCCUGAGAAUCUUGAUCCUCACAUUUAAUUAAUAAAUCAUCUGGGUAUAAAAUUCUAGGUUAGUAAUUUUUCCCUCCAGCAUUUUGUUAUCUUCUGGUCUGAUGCCAUUCUAAUUCCUGGUUCUUUGAACAUGGCCAAUUUUGCUUUACUUUUUUCCUCUAGAAACUUCAGAUGUUUUUCCUUGUGCUUUCAACUUUCAAAUUUUUAUUGACAUAGUUUGCUGUCAUUCAUUUUUAUUCUCUGUAUUUAGGUUUAUUUUGUUUAUUCUUUUUACUAUUACUCUGUCCAGCUUUCAGGAAGAUGUAAAGAUAAACAUUUAACUGGAAAUCAAUAGGACUUUGAAUUUUGCUAUCUUGAUAGCUUUUUAAAGAUUUAUUAGACUAUGUCUUAAACAUCAAAAAUGGACUUAAUGAUAAUUAAUAAUAGAUAAUGGAAACCAGCUGCAUUAUUAGCACUAGUUUAAGGUCAGACAGGAUUGCCUGGAGAGAGAGAUAUAAGGCAUUUUCUGGUUUUCCUCUUUAAAGCUCCAAAACUGUCUUCUUUAGAGUAACAACUCAUCACCAACUUUGUGGUUUUGCCUUGUGGCUUUAUCACUCUUAACUUUACUUAGGCUUCAUUUUGUACUUAAUAUCUUUUUCAUUUAUUUUGACAUGCUUAUAUAAGCUGUUGUGCCUGAAUUAUUUUUCUUUAUUGUUUUUUGCUUCUGUGCAUAUGAUUUUAAUACUUUUUUAUUACUAUGCUUUGAUGAACAGUAGAUAAAAAUCUGGCACAGCACUUAUUAUGUGUGUGGUUUAAUUGAGGUAAACCCAUUAUGAUGCAGAAUUCUGUAGAAACUCAGGCUAUGUUUUUGUUGUUGUUGGAUAUGAGUAUUAUCCAGUUUUGACAUCAUGUCACUUUACCUAUUACCAGAAUUAAUUUGCCUGAGUUGUUAGUCAGGUGGUUGACCUAAUAUCUUCAUGCUUCCUCUUCCCUAAGAUGCACAUGGAGUCAGAUGAUAUUUUAGGCUUUAUUAGUUCUGUGAUAAUACACAAAUAAUUUUACUUAACUUUUCUGGCUUUCAUUAUAUUUAUAAAUAUAAUAUAAAAUGAUGUAUUGGACUAAAAUGCCUUUUCAUGGUCCUUCCACAUGGAAGCUUUUCUUUCUGAGAACUAAACUGAUCAUAUAUUCAGAGACACCUAUUGCAUGGCCAGACACUAGACUAGGAAUUUUUAAGUUACUAAGCGGCCCCAACGUUUGAGAAGCACUUAGUGUAGCUGAGAUAGACUAACCAAUUAUGUAAACCAAAUUAAUCACAACCUAUUUAAAUGUCUGUAUCUGCUUUCACAAGAAAACAACACCCUUGUAUCCAAGAGCUAGAAGGCUGGUGGAAUGAGGGAAUAAGAUCAAAUGACUACUGAGUAUUUAUUGUAGAUGCAUUUGAUACUUAGGCAUAGGGUUCAAAGCACUUUUAAUUUUAUUUUAUGUGUUAAUCCUCACACCAGGAUAUUUUUUUUCCCAUUGAUUUUUAGAGACAGUAGAAGUAGCAAGGGAGGGAGGGAGCGAGAAACCAGAAGAGAAGAAGAGAAACAGAAAAGAAGAAACAAUAAUGUGAGAGAGACAUACGGAUUGGUUGCCCCUGCACACGCCCAGACCAGGGCUGGGGAUCCAACCUGCAACCCAGAUGCUUGCCCUUGACCAGGAAUGGAACCCACAGGGUGACACUCUAACCACUGAGCCAGGGCUCAAAGUACUUUUUACAUUUCACUCUAUAGAGACAAAUAUCCCCCAUCUCAAGAACUGGAUUUAUUUUUCUAGUAGUCAUGUAUUAACUUUGAAAUUUUUCAACUUGGUCAGAAGAUACAAGUUUCCAUUUAAAUUAUUUUAUGCUUUUAAUAGAAUAUACUAGGAAUUUUCUUAUAAAAAUUCUGCAUUUUAAAUGGCAUUAUUCAUAUUUGAAUAUGAAUGUGUAAUUCUCUUGUUGAGUAACAUUAAGAUCCAAGGUUUAAACAAAAAUGAGUCUAGAACAGGUUUGCUUUCCCCCCUCUAAUCUUUACACUUAAUGUUAUAGUGAAUUAUAGAAAUUAUUAUUCCUAUCAUACCUAAAAUUUUCAGAAAGACAGUUGACAUUCUUAUUAGGAACAAUAUGAACUCAUGAUUAGGCAGUGGCAGAAGAAACCUAUUUUGACCAAUUUAUUCCUGGUAAAGGCUACAAUUCACAAUAAGUAGCAUAUGUAAUACCAUUGUUUAUAAAUCUGCCUGUAAGUGCUGGUCUAGACUUUCCUUUUGACUACCCAUUGCCUUUAAAUCUCACCAAUAUGAAUUUUAUAUAUAUAUAUAUAUAUAUAUAUAUAAAAGAAUAAAAGAUUUUUAAGGUACAUAUUCAUAUAUUAAUAUUCUGCUUUGUUCCUAAUGAUAUAAAAGAGAGUGAGUUAUGAUCUAGCACUAAAAGCAUUUACAGCCUGAUUUUUUAUUUCUGACCUAUUUUCUAAACAUAGACCUGUGCUGAUUAUAUAGAAUGAAUGCCAAUAUGUGGUUCAGAUUUUAUAGAUUUCUUAAAAUAGUUAGAUUGUGACACAAUGGCUUUAAAUUUUAAUUUCUUUUUGUGCCUGUAUUGCUGCUUGUAUAUUGUAGGAUUUUUUAACAGUAAAGGAUGUUCAUUAAUGAGAAAUGUGUUUUGUAGACAUUGUAAUUUUAGAUUAAUUUCUCAUUUUUAAAUCUCCCCCUAUUCCAAGUACAGAAUAGUAUAAUAACUCUAUUCAUGUAAUGAUAGUCACUUGAAAAACUGCUUUCUUUUGCUAUGUCAGACACAGCAUUGCCCAUGUGGACUUUUGUCACCAUAGCUGAGAUUGUAGCAAUCUUGUUUGAAAAGUCAAAUACUGAUUUAAAUGAAUAAGAAAAUGCAAACAAACGUUUGCUGUCUUUAUAGCUUAAAAAUAAUAAAUUGGAGCAAUCUCUGACAUAACUUUUGUGCGUCUAAGAUUAUAGUUAGGAGAGCAUUUUGGAAUUUUUAAAGUAGAUUUUAAAUGAUAACCAAGGUUUUUGUUUGUUUAUUUUAAAAUUCUUACUGGAAUGGAAAGGGAUUUAAUUUUGUUGUCCAGUAAUGUAAGUCUUUUUGCAAUUGGCCUUUUCAAUAGUAGAUUGCUUUUUUUUUUUUUUUUGUAGAUUGCUUUUUAUUUGCUUCAACCUUAGUAGAUUUUUAUUUCAGCUUAUCUCUCUCAGCUAAAUCAGCUGGUGAAGGAAAUGACAGCUGUCAUUUAUUAAGUUCGUAUUUACUAUGUACCCAACAAUGAUUUAAAUGCUUCAUAUAUUUUCUCAUUUAAUCCCCACAACAACCCUAUCAGAUAACGCACACUUAUGAUGAAGUAAUUGAGAUGGGAAAGUUAAAAUACCACUUGUCCAGCUGUUUUUCGUCCUCUAAAAUUUUGACAUUUCUUGUCUGAUAUCAAUCUUAUUUUUCUCUUCUUUUUCUUACAGAUUUUUACCUUUUUCAGCUUCUUUAGUAUCAUUUAAUUGGGUCUUAGGAAAAAUAAAACACACACACAAAACCUGUCCUUGCUGUUCAUAAGUUGAGAAAGGAAAGGAAUUCGAGUUUACUGGAGUAUUGAAUACUGGAAAGUUUGGCCUUUUUAGGUAUACAGUUCUGGCAAUUUUGACAAGUGUAUACAGUCAUAUACAGAAUAUUUUCCUCAAAUCCCCCACCCCCCCCAAAAAAAAAAAAAAUCCUUCAUAUCACUUUGUAUUCAUUCCUGUCUCUCACUCCUGUCCCAGUUUUCUGUUCCUAGAGUUUGCCUUUUCUAGAAUGUCAUAUAGAUGGUAUUAUAACCUAUGUAGCCUUCCGUCAUUCUCAUUGUUUUAUCUUUUCUGGAAACUGGGAGUUGUCUGGAACAGCUCUUUGAUUCCUGUAGCCCUUGGACCAGAGUUUUCUUUGGGCUUAUCCAAUCCCUGCUCUUCUCUGCCACCAUUUUUUUUUUAUUUGCUGAUGCCAACUGUUUGGAUUUGUUUUUAGUAAAAGAAUGCCUGUUCUGUUAUUUAAAAAAUUAAGGUGCUUUAUUAACCAUAUUAAUCUAGUCUCUAAAACCCAGAACUCAAAAUCCUUUAUAUGGGGAACUGGUUUAGACCAGUUGUUUUAUAAAAUUGGGUUCUCGGAAGGGAGCAUCCCUAGUCAUAGCUAGAAAUGAAGGUCAAGGUUCAAAACCCUGUGAUGUAGAAAAGAACUUGGAAUGUUUUGUUUUCAACUAGGGACAAAAAUGAUGCGAAAGGAGUUGAGAAAACUAGACCAUUAAUCAGAAAUCCAUUUUUAAAGAUUUGAAUCAUCUGAUUUUUCAAAAUGUUGGAGACUAAUUCUGUAUUUUGGAAAACAGUACACAGACCAAACGGCACAUCCAUGGGCAGCUGGCCUGUGCAUCCCCAUAUUUAUCCAUAUUACCACAUGAAAGGGUUAAGGAGAAUAAAACGGGAAAGAGAAAAACUUAUUGUGCUUAGCAGAUAUCUUGCAGAAAGCUUGCAGCCUUGAGCACCGCAUAGUCCAGAAAACCACUAGCUAUCUGACGCUGGGAGGAACCAAGGACAACUGGACCCUUAGCGGCUUACAAUCAGCAAAAAUUAAUAAAAACCUUUUCUCUCCCUG